AUAUGGCGUGGAAUAAACAACAAUUAAUUUUCAUAGCGCAUAAUUUACGCGAUGUGUGAAAUUUUAGUGAAUUAUGUUUUAAAUGAUUAAAAACAGCUUCGAGCUGAAUUAUAACGUAGUGUGAAAAUAAAGAAAAUGCAAUCACUAGUGCGAAAAUACAUACAUACAUAAAUGUAAUGAAUGCAAAUUGUGCUAAGCAAAGCGUAAACUGCAGGCAAUAAAGUGAAUGUUUACAAAAUUUCUGAUAAAGUGGAAGUCGCGAAAUAGCUGAUAAAAAGUACAAAGUGUAUUUUGCAACAACGAGCAAUGUAAAUAAAACAGAAAGCAUAAGCGCCUACAUUGACAGCUGCUGCGGCGUUAAUUUGUUUAAAGAUUAGGCAUUGUCGUUUUCUCAUAGGAUUUUAUUAUCAGCCGUGAUUAAAUGGGUUUUCUCAAACGCAAAAUUCGUGUUAUGGCGCAUUGUUGAGGUGAACCGAGAAAUUGCCGCAAAUAGUUAAAAACCAGCCCGCGAAUGGCGAAUAGACGACUAGGUGCAACACGUACGAUGGCGCAAAUUAGCAUCGCCUGAAUUGUGCCGAACGGAUGGCUGAAAAUACCAAAACAUCAAUAAAGACGCACCCAACCUCAAACAUAGCCAUUCACGAAAUUUCGCACACC